CACGGGGGGAGCUAGCGUUGUUCGGAAUCACUGGGCGUAAAGCGCACGUAGGCGGAUGUGCCAGUCAGGGGUGAAAUCCCGGAGCUCAACUUCGGAACUGCCUCUGAUACAGCACGUCUUGAGUCCGGAAGAGGUGGGUGGAAUUCCUAGUGUAGAGGUGAAAUUCGUAGAUAUUAGGAAGAACACCGGUGGCGAAGGCGGCCCACUGGUCCGGU
rnacentral:rRNA from 1 species